AUUAUUUAACGUGGUAUGUGAUAUAUAAAUUAAUUUAUUUUUUAAGAAUAUAACAGAGUUAAAUUUAUUGGCAUAUAUUUUGCACUGUGACACAAGAGAAUAAAUAUUAUUUUAUACAGGGUAGAAGUCUUUUCAUUUUUGGCAUGUAUAAUUUUAUCAAGAUAAAAUAAUAUAUUUGAUAUUUAUUAAUAAAAAAAAUAUUACAAGGUUAUUUUUAUUUUCCACGUGGAUUUGGUGAUUUAUACAUAUGGAAACAAAUAGGGAAGCAGUUCUACUUUUUAAGAGAAUGGACGGAUCAGAUUUCUUCUUGAAAUCAAAAUUUGUCGCAAAGAAAGAAGACGAAGUAUUUUCAAUCUUUCUUGUUUCUUUAUUCUCAAUUGAGAAAAACUGCCGUGGACAUAGACCUGAGCAAUAUAGUUAACUGUGCAGUAUUAAGAUCGACGAUCGAGAAAACCAACCUCGAACUGAAUCAUAACCAGAAACCCGUCUCUGUUUAAGCAUCGAUCAAUGUCCCUCUUAAACCAACUCUUCAACAGAGGCCUUUUUGGUUCUAAAUGCAAAAAUGCUUGAAUUUGGCAAUCUCGCGCAUUAAAUUGCUGCAAAAUAAGAGAGAUUUGCAGCUUAAAAUAUGCGCAAGGAGAUUGCGCAAUUUCUUCAGGCUGGACAAGAAGCAAUGGCUCGAAUUCGAGUGGAACAUGUAACGAGGAAAAAGAAUAUAUGGGCUGCAUAUGAGAUAUUGGAGCUGUUCUUCUAAUUUUUACUUGCGCGUGUUCCCAUUCUUGAAAGUCAGUCGGUGGAUCAAAGCAGAUUGUGGCUGAAGCCACACUUCCUCAAGCUCCUACCAAACAGAGCUCUCCUCUAUCACCACUUUCCAAUGGGGUCCAUCGUACCAUAAAUAUGGAUAGCAAACAAGGAUCUCAUCAUCUUCAAGCUUCUGGCACUGUGAGCAAUAUGCCCCAGGUCACACUUCUAACAAAAUUGAACCAUCAAUCAAGAAUCAUAAUGCCGGACCAUUGACUGAUGGUAACAGGGAGACAACACCACAAGCAUCUGAUGUUUUGGGGAGAGCUCGAGCUGCCAUUGCAUAAGCAGAGCGUGCAGCUUUUGCUGCCAGCGCAGCUGGCGAGCUUGUAAAUGUUAAAUUUGGCUCAUUUAGGUUAGGUGAAGGCAAGUCAUAGUUAUUCCAUAAUCGACCUUUGAUUAUAAAAUUAUAUCUCAAGAUCACAUAAUCAAGCAUGCCAAAAAAGAAACCAAAAGAAAAUGUACAUUAUUUCACUAUGUAAAAACACAAUCUUACAAAAACUGGAAACUACCAAGAGUUUCAUAUUGGUAAUAUUUUUAUACCAUUAUGAUCUUUGCUGAAAUACCAAGAAACCCCACGAUUGUAUCAAUUUCUUUUAAGAUAUCAAUUCAUUUGUUUUCUGCACAUAAUGUUUA